rnacentral:lncRNA from 1 species
AAUUGGAUAUAUGCAAUAGAAAAAUUAGGGUUUGUCCAAAAAAUUAGAUAGAUUGCCCUAGGAUUCGAGAGGCAACGACGCCAAAAAAGCUUGUUGAUGGCAGUUAGUAUGCCAGUUUGAACCACAAGCACACGAAUCAGUUGUAGCUUUUCCCUCGGAGUAUUCGUCCAAGGUUUCUCAAUCCGUGGAUUGGCAGCAAAUUAACUAGGGUUUUCUAUCUAGCUUAAUAGAUCUAAUCCUAACAUGAAGCAUAGAUUGCAUAUGAACGGUAAACCUAAUAGAUAUGAAUGAUAGAGUAUAGGUUGAUCACAUCAACAGAUACAUAUAAGAUAGCACAACAAAGGGUAACAAGGUCCAAUCAUCUUCUAGUCUUAGAUCUUUAAACUAAUUCCUCGAGUCAACCUCCCAAAAAACCCCACCUUACAUGAAAGAAGACCCCACCACAACCCCCCGCCCUAUCAGCGCAGGUAGUUUAAGGGCAUGAGCAUAUAUGAACAUGUGUAACUAUCAUGAAGGAUCGACAUACUAGAUCU